UUACGACCAUAUUACAUUGAAACACCAGGUCUCGUACGAUCACCAAGGUUAAGCAAUGUCGAAACUGGUCAAUACCUAGAUGGGUGACCGCUUGGGAAUACCAGGUGC